rnacentral:rRNA from 1 species
GAUGAACGCUGGCGGCGUGCCUAAUACAUGCAAGUCGAGCGAACGGACGAGAAGCUUGCUUUUCUGAUGUUAGCGGCGGACGGGUGAGUAACACGUGGAUAACCUACCUAUAAGACUGGGAUAACUUCGGGAAACCGGAGCUAAUACCGGAUAAUAUUUUGAACCGCAUGGUUCAAAAGUGAAAGACGGUCUUGCUGUCACUUAUAGAUGGAUCCGCGUUGCAUUAGCUAGUUGGUAAGGUAACGGCUUACCAAGGCGACGAUGCAUAGCCGACCUGAGAGGGUGAUCAGCCACACUGGAACUGAGACACGGUCCAGACUCCUACGGGAGGCAGCAGUAGGGAAUAUUCCACAAUGGGCGAAAGCCUGACGGAGCAACGCCGCGUGAGUGAUGAAGGUCUUCGGAUCGUAAAACUCUGUUAUUAGGGAAGAACAGAUGUGUAAGUAACUGUGCACAUCUUGACGGUACCUAAUCAGAAAGCCACGGCUAACUUCGUG